rnacentral:rRNA from 1 species
UUAAGCGACUAAGCGUACACGGUGGAUGCCCUGGCAGUCAGAGGCGAUGAAGGACGUGCUAAUCUGCGAAAAGCGUCGGUAAGGUGAUAUGAACCGUUAUAACCGGCGAUGUCCGAAUGGGGAAACCCAGUGCAAUUCGUUGCACUAUCGUUAACUGAAUACAUAGGUUAACGAGGCGAACCGGGGGAACUGAAACAUCUAAGUACCCCGAGGAAAAGAAAUCAACCGAGAUUCCCCCAGUAGCGGCGAGCGAACGGGGAGCAGCCCAGAGUCUGAAUCAGCUUGUGUGUUAGUGGAACGGUCUGGAAAGUCCGACGGUACAGGGUGAUAGUCCCGUACACCAAAAUGCACAGGUUGUGAACUCGAAGAGUAGGGCGGGACACGUGGUAUCCUGUCUGAAUAUGGGGGGACCAUCCUCCAAGGCUAAAUACUCCUGACUGACCGAUAGUGAACCAGUACCGUGAGGGAAAGGCGAAAAGAACCCCGGCGAGGGGAGUGAAAAAGAACCUGAAACCGUGUACGUACAAGCAGUGGGAGCACCUUCGGGUGUGACUGCGUACCUUUUGUAUAAUGGGUCAGCGACUUAUAUUCUGUAGCAAGGUUAACCGUAUAGGGGAGCCGCAGGGAAACCGAGUCUUAACUGGGCGUUAAGUUGCAGGGUAUAGACCCGAAACCCGGUGAUCUAGCCAUGGGCAGGUUGAAGGUUGGGUAACACUAACUGGAGGACCGAACCGACUAAUGUUGAAAAAUUAGCGGAUGACUUGUGGCUGGGGGUGAAAGGCCAAUCAAACCGGGAGAUAGCUGGUUCUCCCCGAAAGCUAUUUAGGUAGCGCCUCGUGAACUCAUCUUCGGGGGUAGAGCACUGUUUCGGCUAGGGGGUCAUCCCGACUUACCAACCCGAUGCAAACUACGAAUACCGAAGAAUGUUAUCACGGGAGACACACGGCGGGUGCUAACGUCCGUCGUGAAGAGGGAAACAACCCAGACCGCCAGCUAAGGUCCCAAAGUCAUGGUUAAGUGGGAAACGAUGUGGGAAGGCACAGACAGCCAGGAUGUUGGCUUAGAAGCAGCCAUCAUUUAAAGAAAGCGUAAUAGCUCACUGGUCGAGUCGGCCUGCGCGGAAGAUGUAACGGGGCUAAACCAUGCACCGAAGCUGCGGCAGCGACACUAUGUGUUGUUGGGUAGGGGAGCGUUCUGUAAGCCUGCGAAGGUGUGCUGUGAGGCAUGCUGGAGGUAUCAGAAGUGCGAAUGCUGACAUAAGUAACGAUAAAGCGGGUGAAAAGCCCGCUCGCCGGAAGACCAAGGGUUCCUGUCCAACGUUAAUCGGGGCAGGGUGAGUCGACCCCUAAGGCGAGGCCGAAAGGCGUAGUCGAUGGGAAACAGGUUAAUAUUCCUGUACUUGGUGUUACUGCGAAGGGGGGACGGAGAAGGCUAUGUUAGCCGGGCGACGGUUGUCCCGGUUUAAGCAUGUAGGCUGGUUAUCCAGGCAAAUCCGGAUAAUCAAGGCUGAGGUGUGAUGACGAGGCACUACGGUGCUGAAGUAACAAAUGCCCUGCUUCCAGGAAAAGCCUCUAAGCAUCAGGUAACAUCAAAUCGUACCCCAAACCGACACAGGUGGUCAGGUAGAGAAUACCAAGGCGCUUGAGAGAACUCGGGUGAAGGAACUAGGCAAAAUGGUGCCGUAACUUCGGGAGAAGGCACGCUGGUGUGUAGGUGAAGUCCCUGCGGAUGGAGCUGAGACCAGUCGAAGAUACCAGCUGGCUGCAACUGUUUAUUAAAAACACAGCACUGUGCAAACACGAAAGUGGACGUAUACGGUGUGACGCCUGCCCGGUGCCGGAAGGUUAAUUGAUGGGGUUAUCCGUAAGGAGAAGCUCUUGAUCGAAGCCCCGGUAAACGGCGGCCGUAACUAUAACGGUCCUAAGGUAGCGAAAUUCCUUGUCGGGUAAGUUCCGACCUGCACGAAUGGCGUAAUGAUGGCCAGGCUGUCUCCACCCGAGACUCAGUGAAAUUGAACUCGCUGUGAAGAUGCAGUGUACCCGCGGCAAGACGGAAAGACCCCGUGAACCUUUACUAUAGCUUGACACUGAACAUUGAGCCUUGAUGUGUAGGAUAGGUGGGAGGCUUUGAAGCGUGGACGCCAGUCUGCGUGGAGCCAACCUUGAAAUACCACCCUUUAAUGUUUGAUGUUCUAACGUUGGCCCCUGACCGGGGUUGCGGACAGUGUCUGGUGGGUAGUUUGACUGGGGCGGUCUCCUCCCAAAGCGUAACGGAGGAGCACGAAGGUUAGCUAAUCCUGGUCGGACAUCAGGAGGUUAGUGCAAUGGCAUAAGCUAGCUUGACUGCGAGCGUGACGGCGCGAGCAGGUGCGAAAGCAGGUCAUAGUGAUCCGGUGGUUCUGAAUGGAAGGGCCAUCGCUCAACGGAUAAAAGGUACUCCGGGGAUAACAGGCUGAUACCGCCCAAGAGUUCAUAUCGACGGCGGUGUUUGGCACCUCGAUGUCGGCUCAUCACAUCCUGGGGCUGAAGUAGGUCCCAAGGGUAUGGCUGUUCGCCAUUUAAAGUGGUACGCGAGCUGGGUUUAGAACGUCGUGAGACAGUUCGGUCCCUAUCUGCCGUGGGCGCUGGAGAAUUGAGGGGGGCUGCUCCUAGUACGAGAGGACCGGAGUGGACGCAUCACUGGUGUUCGGGUUGUCAUGCCAAUGGCACUGCCCGGUAGCUAAAUGCGGAAGAGAUAAGUGCUGAAAGCAUCUAAGCACGAAACUUGCCCCGAGAUGAGUUCUCCCUGAGACUAUAAGUCUCCUGAAGGAACGUUGAAGACGACGACGUUGAUAGGCCGGGUGUGUAAGCGCAGCGAUGCGUUGAGCUAACCGGUACUAAUGAACCGUGAGGCUUAACCUU